rnacentral:misc_RNA from 1 species
AAGUCGUAACAAGGUUUCCGUAGGUGAACCUGCGGAAGGAUCAUUAACAAAUCUAGUGGGCUUGGUCUUUGAUCGGCUCAUUUUUGCGCGUGUGUUGUGUGACUGGUUACCAGAAGUGGGAUUUAUAACAGAGACAACUUUUAACAAUGGAUCUCUUGGCUCUU